AUACGGAGGAUGCGAGCGUUAUCCGGAUUUAUUGGGUUUAAAGGGAGCGUAGGUGGGAUAUUAAGUCAGCUGUGAAAGUUUGGGGCUCAACCUUAAAAUUGCAGUUGAUACUGGUUUCCUUGAGUACGGUACAGGUGGGCGGAAUUCGUGGUGUAGCGGUGAAAUGCUUAGAUAUCACGAAGAACUCCGAUCGCGAAGGCAGCUCACCGGGCCGGAACUGACACUGAUGCUCGAAAGUGCGGGUAUCAAACAGGAUUAGAUACCCUGGUAGUCCGCACAGUAAACGAUGAGUACUCGCUGUUUGCGAUACACUGUAAGCGGCCAAGCGAAAGCGUUAAGUAUUCCACCUGGGGAGUACGCCGGCAACGGUGAAACUCAAAGGAAUUGACGGGG
rnacentral:rRNA from 1 species